UAAUUUUGAUAAAUUAAUAAGAUAAUAAUUUUUAGGAAGACCAUUAUAUAAAUCUAUUAUCUCGUCACUAUCAUAAAUUAAUAACUCUACGAAAUUAUAAAUACAACUAGAGCAAUUUAGUAACAUAUGAAUCUAUUAUUUUAUUUUAUUUUUUUUUUUUUUGUGAAAUCUAAAUCUAGAUGGAUAUUAUCUCUAACUUUUCUCAUUGCAUUCAAAAGCUCUGGUGUCAUCUUCUCGAAAUGGAACAAAAGAUUGUGAAGAGUUUUUGCCGCUAUGAGUGCUUCCUUUCGCGUAAUUGGUUCCAAAGCUACUGAAUCAUCCUCAAUAUGAUUUUCGAUGACACCAUUAUUUUAGAUCUAUGAACUUUCAUCAUUAUUUUAGAUGUUAAAAGAAUGGAAAGUAAGAACAAGCAAAUGAUGAAGACUAUCAAGAUAAUGGUACCUUGACUCAAAUAUAUUAGACGAUGAGCUCCUUCUGUCCGUAAUUAGGGUGGACUCGCAUCCCGGUAGAGGAACACAAAUGUAAAAAGUAGAUUUUGGGAAAAGAUGAAAUAUAGAAUGUGACCUGCGUCUUCCAAAAUAUGGAUUACAAGAUAUGGAAGAAAGAAGAUGAACAAUAUGAAAGUAUUAGAAGCCAUGGUAGGUCUACUGGUUGCGAUUCCAUAAACCAAUACCUUACCCGUUUGAUUAUAUUUAAAUGUUGCAUAUUACUUGUGAUGUAUUCUUAAAU
rnacentral:lncRNA from 1 species